CCAAAUCCCACACUGCUACAAUCUCUCCCUCCCCCCCCCUACGGAUACCUUAUCACAGAAAAAAAAGGAAAAGAAAAUCAUCUCUUCCUUUUGUUCUUAUUUUAACCCUAGAAAGAAACCCAUUUGUCUUCACUUCAACUGUUGCUGGGUUUGGAUCGUUUCCUCCAGGACACGGCUGUGAACUUUACGAGAAGAAGUGAAAUCCUGUUAACAGCUAGAUGGGUGAAGUUCUUCCUCUGUGUGCCUCUCCUCGUGGCUUAUUCCUCUGCACUUGGACGGUUUCCUCUCAGAAGUGCUGGCAGAGCUUGAAGACUGCGAUUUCAUUUGUUAAGAAGUUUAGGUGGGCAUGGCCGUCUUCAAUGGGUGGUCCACCAAAUGGUGGUAAUUUUUCUCGUGUUUUUCAGGGCCUAUCGUAAUGGGCGUUGAGGCGUUUUGGUGGUGUUUGGGGUACCUUCCCUACGGUUGCAUGGUGCCUGCCAUUCUGAAUUUUGUUCAUGAUUCGAGUUCUGUCAUCGUACUAUUUAUGUUACUCGGGAGCUUUUUUUUUCAUAUGGCUGUGGUAUACUCUAUUGUUUAUUGGCAUCAGUACAUGCCUUUCCGGUUAAUUGGUGCCAAGGCGAAAUUUAUGAUUGAGGUCAUUCCCAUGAUAACUGCAGCAGCCUUGCAUCACCUUUUGGAGUUCAAUUAUGGGUAUCUCGCUCUACUGCUAUGCUGUACCACAUAUUUUUACACCUUUGCCCACUUCUUGCACUUCGCAUAUGAUAUCGGGGGAAUAGACGUAUUGCUGGGAAUAGUCAUACAGGUUCUUGCUUACAUGCUGUACGUAGGAUUGUUAGUUAGAGCUUUGGCUUUGAGCUUCUGCUUUGUUUUAUGUUUCUAUAGAUACAAGACGUAUUGUGCUCCUGAACUACCUGUUGAUAGUAAAAAGGAGUUGGAGCAGCUACCUUGUUGAUCUGUAUGUGUCCUUAGAGGACUAACUUCGUGUACUUUUUAAUUUGUGAUAUCUCAUAAUUUAUGAGCUAUUUUUGUCAUGUAAUCUAUCAGGGCUUCUUUGUCAUGUAAUCUAUUUUUGUCUGUUUAAUCUCUCAGGGCUUCUUUCACUUUCUUUAGUCGAGGGUAUAUCGGA